UAGGGAAUCUUCCACAAUGGACGCAAGUCUGAUGGAGCAACGCCGCGUGAGUGAAGAAGGUUUUCGGACCGUAAAGCUCUGUUGUUGGUGAAGAAGGAUAGAGGUAGUAACUGGCCUUUAUUUGACGGUAAUCAACCAGAAAGUCACGGCUAACUACGUGCCAGCAGCCGCGGUAAUACGUAGGUGGCAAGCGUUGUCCGGAUUUAUUGGGCGUAAAGCGAGCGCAGGCGGAAGAAUAAGUCUGAUGUGAAAGCCCUCGGCUUAACCGAGGGAUUGCAUCGGAAACUGUUUUCUUGAGUGCAGAAGAGGAGAGUAGAACUCCAUGUGUAGCGGUGGAAUGCGUAGAUAUAUGGAAGAAUACCAGUGGCGAAGGCGGCUCUCUGGUCUGCAACUGACGCUGAGGCUCGAAAGCAUGGGUAGCGAACAGGAUUAGAUACCCUUGGUAGUCCAUGCCGUAAACGAUGAGUGCUAAGUGUUGGGAGGCUUCCGCCUCUCAGUGCUGCAGCUAACGCAUUAAGCACUCCGCCUGGGGGAGUACGACCGCAAGGUUGAAAC
rnacentral:rRNA from 1 species